rnacentral:rRNA from 1 species
GCAUAUCAAUAAGCGGAGGAAAAGAAACCAACAGGGAUUGCCCCAGUAACGGCGAGUGAAGCGGCAACAGCUCAAAUUUGAAAUCUGGCCUCGGCCCGAGUUGUAAUUUGCAGAGGAAGCUUUAGGCGCGGCACCAUCUGAGUCCCCUGGAACGGGGCGCCACAGAGGGUGAGAGCCCCGUAUAGAUGGACGCCUAGCCUGUGUAAAGCUCCUUCGACGAGUCGAGUAGUUUGGGAAUGCUGCUCAAAAUGGGAGGUAAAUUUCUUCUAAAGCUAAAUACCGGCCAGAGACCGAUAGCGCACAAGUAGAGUGAUCGAAAGAUGAAAAGCACUUUGAAAAGAGGGUUAAAUAGCACGUGAAAUUGUUGAAAGGGAAGCGCUUGUGACCAGACUUGCGCCGGGCGGAUCAUCCGGUGUUCUCACCGGUGCACUCCGCCCGGCUCAGGCCAGCAUCGGUUCUCGCGGGGGGAUAAAGGCACCGGGAACGUAGCUCCCUCGGGAGUGUUAUAGCCCGGGGCGUAAUGCCCUCGCGGGGACCGAGGACCGCGCUUCGGCAAGGAUG